rnacentral:rRNA from 1 species
UACGUAGGGUGCGAGCGUUGUCCGGAUUUAUUGGGCGUAAAGAGCUCGUAGGCGGUCUGUCGCGUCGGAUGUGAAAACCCAGGGCUCAACCCUGGGCUGCCAUUCGAUACGGGCAGACUAGAGUACGGCAGGGGAGACUGGAAUUCCUGGUGUAGCGGUGAAAUGCGCAGAUAUCAGGAGGAACACCGGUGGCGAAGGCGGGUCUCUGGGCCGAAACUGACGCUGAGGAGCGAAAGCGUGGGGAGCGAACAGG